rnacentral:rRNA from 1 species
CCUACGGGAGGCAGCAGUGAGGAAUAUUGGUCAAUGGCCGGAAGGCUGAACCAGCCAUGCCGCGUGAAGGUCAGUGCCCUUUGGGCGUUAAACUUCUUUUGUGCGGGAGCAAUAAUGGUCACGUGUGGCCAGACGAGAGUACCGUACGAAUAAGCAUCGGCUAACUCCGUGCCAGCAGCCGCGGUAAUACGGGGGAUGCAAGCGUUAUCCGGAUUUAUUGGGGUUAAAGGGUGCGUAGGCUGUGAGGUAAGUCAGCGGUGAAAUGCCCCCGCUCAACGGGGUGAAGUGCCAUUGAUACUGCCUUGCUGGAAUGCGGAUGCGGUGGGAGGAAUGUGUGGUGUAGCGGUGAAAUGCGUAGAUAUCACACAGAACACCGAUUGCGAAGGCAUCUCACGAAUCCGCGAUUGACGCUGAUGCACGAAAGCGUGGGUAUCAAACAGGAUUAGAUACCCCUGUAGUC